CAGCAGUGGGGAAUAUUGGACAAUGGGGGCAACCCUGAUCCAGCCAUGCCGCGUGUGUGAUGACGGCCUUAGGGUUGUAAAGCACUUUCAGCAGUGAAGAUAAUGACAUUAACUGCAGAAGAAGCCCCGGCUAACUUCGUGCCAGCAGCCGCGGUAAUACGAAGGGGGCUAGCGUUGUUCGGAAUCACUGGGCGUAAAGCGUACGUAGGCGGAUUGAUAAGUUAGGGGUGAAAUCCCGGGGCUUAACCCCGGAACUGCCUUUGAUACUGUCAGUCUUGAGUUCGAGAGAGGUGAGUGGAACUCCGAGUGUAGAGGUGAAAUUCGUAGAUAUUCGGAAGAACACCAGUGGCGAAGGCGGCUCACUGGCUCGAUACUGACGCUGAGGUACGAAAGCGUGGGGAGCAAACAGGAUUAGA
rnacentral:rRNA from 1 species